AUUUAGAUAGUUUAAGUAAAAUAUUGAUUUGUGGGGUCAAAGUUAUUUGUAAAAUUUUAAAUA
rnacentral:tRNA from 1 species